rnacentral:miRNA from 1 species
UUGACAGAAGAUAGAGAGCACAACUGAACAUAUCCAUGGUUGUUUUGUGAAUGAGCAGCUUGUGCUCUCUAAUCUUCUGUCAA